UAGAGUUUGAUCCUGGCUCAGGAUGAACGCUAGCGGGAGGCUUAACACAUGCAAGCCGAGGGGUAUAGUUAGCUUGCUAACUAGAGACCGGCGCACGGGUGCGUAACGCGUAUGCAACUUGCCCUACUGAAAAGGAUAGCCCUUCGAAAGGAGGAUUAAUACUUUAUAAUAGAAAUCAUGGCAUCAUGAAUUUUUGAAAGAUUUAUCGCAGUAGGAUAGGCAUGCGUAAGAUUAGUUAGUUGGUGAGGUAACGGCUCACCAAGACGAUGAUCUUUAGGGGGCCUGAGAGGGUGAACCCCCACACUGGUACUGAGACACGGACCAGACUCCUACGGGAGGCAGCAGUGAGGAAUAUUGGACAAUGGGUGGAAGCCUGAUCCAGCCAUCCCGCGUGUAGGAUGACGGCCUUAUGGGUUGUAAACUACUUUUAUCUGGGGAUAAACCUACUUACGUGUAAGUAGCUGAAGGUACCAGAAGAAUAAGCACCGGCUAACUCCGUGCCAGCAGCCGCGGUAAU
rnacentral:rRNA from 1 species